GACCAGCCACAGCUCUAUGUGCUGUCUGCCCAUACUGCUCCACUCUUUACUCUGCUGGUCAACCCUUUAGCUCCAGCUCAUGAGAUCUCUUCCCUCAACCUUUCUCCAAGACAUUGGCACCCCUAACCCAUCACUGAGCAGAAGUAGCAUGGCUCCUCUCAUCUGUGAGUAAUUCCCUCCCAUUCCUCUACAGGGAAGAAGAAUACCAAUGGCAAUAAACUGGCUUUUGUUUGAACUUGCCAGUUCCCUUCCUGUGCCUGAAAACCUCUCCUCUCUACUCACUGUGUGAAUCUUCUAAUAACUUAAGAUAUUGAAGAGAUAACUACUGGAGGACACCCUUUUCUCUGCCAUGGGGUCUGGCUAUGAUCCAUGAAGAUCUGGUAAGAUCUAAAGCAAAUUGUGAAAAUAAUUCUCUCAAAUUCCUGGAAAUAAGCAUUUACCAUUUGCUGAUGGGUUUUGUAGUAUCUCCCACCAGAACAGGCAGACUAUCCCAGGACGUCUUCAUGGACCCAG
rnacentral:lncRNA from 14 species